UGAACCCCGGUAUCUAGAGUCUGCAAAAA
rnacentral:piRNA from 1 species